GAUGAAGAACGGCAGCGAAAUGCGAUAAGUAGUGUGAAUUGCAGAAUUCAGUGAAUCAUCGAAUCUUUGAACGCACAUUGCGCCCCUUGGUAUUCCAUGGGGCAUGCCUGUUCGAGCGUCAUUUGUACCUUCAAGCUCUGCUUGGUGUUGGGUGUUUGUCUCGCCUCUGCGCGUAGACUCGCCUCAAAACAAUUGGCAGCCGGCGUAUUGAUUUCGGAGCGCAGUACAUCUCGCGCUUUGCACUCAUAACGACGACGUCCAAAAGUACAUUUUUACACUCUUGACCUCGGAUCAGGUAGGGAUACCCGCUGAACUUAAGCAUAUCAAUAAGCGGAGGA
rnacentral:misc_RNA from 1 species